ensembl:lncRNA novel transcript
AGCACUUAAUACACAUUCAGCCUUCCCAUCAUGUCAUUGUACCUUGGAACAAGGAGCAAAUAAUUGGCUGUGGGAUCCCCACUAAGUUUUUGUUACACGACUUCCCUUCUCUGUAGAAUGGGCACACGAUGAGCGACCACCCUCUCGGAGACAAACCACUGAUGAAAGCGAGGUGUAAAGCUCCUUGUGGGCAAUCUGGGAAGGACAGAACUCCUGAGACCUUGAGCCCCACCACAAGAGCGCCCGGAAAUCGGUUCAUUUCCGAGCCCAGCACGUACGUGCCCGCGGGUUCCUCUGCCACGGCGUGGUUGGCCAGACUCUGCCAGGCCCGCUCGCAGGUCUCCAGCGCCGCCCGGAAGUCCAGGUGCACCACCAGGAGGUCGGCCGCCUCCUCCAGAAGGUCCACGGCCGGCGCCCGGGCCGGGACCGCGCGCACCGGCUCGCUGCUGCGCAGGGGUCCCCCGAGCCCCCUGAGGGGGGCUGCAGAGGUCGAAGAAUCGCUCUUCAUAACGAGUCCGGGUCCAAGGCCCAGGUCCUCAGACGUCGGAGUGACCGCCUCCCCAGAGGCUCCGGGAUAUCCCGAGUUGGCCUGGGCGAAGAGGGAGAGUCCUCAUCUCUUUGCCCACACCCCUUCCCGAGGUCGAUUCCCCGAGAAGGAAAAGGAAGGGGCCUAUCUGAGGCAAAAGCUGGGCUCGCCUGGAGGCUGGGGAAGCAGUUUACACGUCAGAUUUGCAGGAUUCUUGCAUCCCUGGAAUACCUGGCCCUAGCUUCUCCGGCCCCGCGACACGUGCAGGAACUGCCUCAGCUCCGGGCUCCUGGUUACGAUCAAAGACUCACCUCGCCUCCCGGCAGCGGGCGCGGACAUCUUUGCGCUCGCCCAGCCCCGCAGCCGCGCGGCGUCCCGGCGGCGCGGAGUACUCUAGGAGUUGUAGUUCCUCAGCUCUCGGCCCAUCGCCUUCUGUAAUGGAAGUAGGAGGCAGAGCGCGGACUACAACCCCCAGCACGCCGCGCCCCGGAAGCCGCCCCUGUGCCGUGAGAAAACAAACUGGUGCUACAGCUUCGGGGUGCGGAAGUCAAAACGAAGCAAAACCGAAGCUGUCUUGUGAAAUGGAGGGGUCCUCACUAACCAGUUCCAGCGGAGGCUAACGGAAGAAGUGCCAGCAAUGGAUGUGCAGCUACAUGCACGCUUUUAAUUCAGAGCUUCUGCGACGGUGGCGAUCAGGGGAUCUGUAAUGUAAUGUAAUGUCAAGGCUGACGCAGAGCUGAUCAAACAUUUUGGCAACCUUAGUCUUGAAUUGAUUCACACUUUCUCCGCGUUGCCUCCGGAGUUUGCUGUAGGGUAAUGAAUAUUGCCUGGUGAGGAUGAGGGACUUAGGGUGGAAACCUUCACAAGGACCACUGAGAAUAUGUUGGUCCCAAGGGCAAUGUUCCAAAAUGAAUAGUGACCCCACCGAGGCGGGGUUGGGGGCGCUGAGCAUAAGGGCCUCAUUUUUCUCACUGCUCUCUGCCCCAUCCUGAAUUUGCUGUUAAAAAACAACGUUAAAUGCAGAUACCAAUUCCACUUCCCCACUGUUGUCACUUCCGAUCUGUCUUUAUAUUUCUCCUUAUCAUUUAUCACCAUCUACAUACCAAUGUCUAUAUUUUACUUAUUUUUAUUGUCUAUUUCCUUCCACUAUGAUAUAAACUCACAAAGGCAGAC